GAACCCAACCUCUGAGGCACAACCCAAGCCCUCACUUGGAAUUUUUAUUUUAUUUAUUUUUUGGGAUUGAACCCAGGGCCUUGUGCAUGCAAGGCAAGCGCUCUACCAACUGAGCUAUCUCCCCAGCCCUCACUUGGAAUAUUUUAACAAACCUCUUAAAUGGCUGUCCUGGGUUGUUUAAGAGGGGACUCUUUCUUUUGGUACCAGGGAUUGAAUCCAGGGGCACUUAACCACUGAACCACACCCCAGCCCUUUUUUUGCAUUUUAUUUAGAUACAGAAUCUUGCUAAGUUGCUUAGGGCCUUCCUAAAUUGCUGAGGAUGGCUUUGAACUUGCAAUCCUCCUGCCUCAGCCUCCCCAGCCCCCUGGGACUAUAGGUGUGCCCACUAUACCUGGCAAUAGGGGGCUCUUUCUGAGACACAAACCCUAGCCUUGGUUCAAAACAUUGGUGGUUCCUCGGAGCCCGUAGCAUACAAUUAAAACUCUUCCUCUUCCCACUGAGAACUCCCAAGGCAGAGUUCCCUCCUGCCUCCCGUGCUUGUUACCCUGGGAGCCAGUUAUCUCUGACGCUCAUCAGCCUCAGAAGGCAGGCAGGGCAUGGUGGUGCAUGCCUGUAAUCCCAGGGCUGGGGAGGCUGAGGCAGGAGGAUCCUGAGGGCAGCUUUGUGAAGAUAAAUUGAGGAAUUGAGAAUCCCCAACCCAGGACUCAGACCUCGCCAGCAGCACUGCUGCCUGUGUGCCUCCCUGUCAGGUCCCCUCCGUCCCCUGGAAGCGAACAUCAUCCUGAGUUUUGUGGUCACUAUUCCCUUGCUUUUUUUGGGGGGGUGGUUCACCCUAGGGGGAUGGAUCCCAGACAAUUUAGUUUUGUUUGCUUUGGGACCUUUAGAUAAAUAACGCAGUGUAGAUACAUUCUUCUUGGAUUUUUUUCAUGCAUCACUGUUUCUAAAACAUAUUUGUAAUUGUGCCUAUUUUAGGUGUCAUUCCUUCAUUUUCUCUGCUGUGUGGUCCUCCCCUGUCUGGAGAGUUCCUGUGUGCAUUCUCCCAUCGAGGAACAUGCAGUGUUGUGGAUCAAAUGUGGGCCUUGCACGUGUAAGGGUGGCCCUGAACACAAGCCAACCAUGGUGAUCAGGGAGGCCGCACCGUAACACCACUGGAGAAGGGACCUCGGUGCUGCUGUCAGCUGAUGGACGACCUUGCUUCCGGUUUCUCCGGGAAAACAGAAGCGAUCAGAAGAAACUUCCCCAGGCCCCGCCCGCCUCCGCUCACCUGCUGGCACGGUACCUGGUCGGGGAUGCCUGUGCGCGUGCGCGUCUAGGACAGCGCCUCCACGUGGCUCCGCAGGGUCUGCGCGUGCGGGCCCCGGGGCGUGCGGGCUCCGGCGGGGCGUCAGCGGGUGGCCCGCCGGCCGUUCCUCGGUCACUCCCGCAGCCCCGGGAGUCCCGGGGUGUCCUCACUGGCUCAAUCGCGUCAGCACACAGUCGCGCUGCGACUCUCCCAAGCCUCUUUUCUUUCCAGUAAAACUUUCCCAAGGGCUUUCUGGUCGAGUGUCUUGGUUCUUCUUUUCCCUUUCUCUCGGCCACAUCCUCUCUCUUUGACUUUGGCGCCCCGUGCUCCUCUGAAGUUGCUGUCUUUAAAGUCGUGGGUGACAUCCCGCAACCAAAUCUGAGAGCCGGCUCCCGGUCCUCGGCCUCCCUGGGGCCCGUCCUCCCGUCGCUUCCCGGGCUCCCUAUCUUGUGGCUCUCCUCCGCCCACCCCCACGGCCUCCUCCAGCGUCCUUGGCUGGUGGUUCCCUCCUCUUCCCCCUCCCCCAGGCUGGAGCACCCCCUGCAGCCAGCCUCAGACCGCCCUCUGCUCUAGCUCCUUCCCAGGAGGGCUCCGGUCCCAGGCACAUCCUCGCUCCUGUCCUACAGGCCCAGGGCUCAGCCCCCGACUCCAGCCUCUCCACUCAGUGGCCACAGGAAACCCACACUUGAUAUAUGCACAACAGAACUUGGUUCUUACCCCAACUCUGAUCUUCCCUGAGUCUUUCCAGCUCAAAAAAGCCACCCACCCCCACGCCAAGAAAAUCCAAAACCCAACACCUGCACCCCUCCAUCCUGCCAAGGAGUGGUCCACGACUUGGGUCAUCCGGAUCUCUUGGUCUCUUCUUUAUACCCCCAUCCGACCCAUCACAUAUACCAGGAGCUCUAUCUUCCAAAGAUGGCCACAGUCUGACCCUCACCCCUUCCACUGCUACUACCCGCGAAUGUGGCCGGGCCACCAUUGUUUCUUGCUCAGAUUUGUGUGAAAACCUCCCAGUGGGGCUCCCUGAUGCCCCCCACCCCACCCUCUGCCACAUUGUUCUACAUACAGCGGCCAGCGUGUGAUCUUUAAAAACCCGAGCCAGGUCCUUUCUUUCCUCUGU